GAUGAACGCUGACAGAAUGCUUAACACAUGCAAGUCAACUUGAACUUCGGUUUGGGUGGCGGACGGGUGAGUAACGCGUAAAGAACUUGCCUCACAGUUAGGGACAACAUUUGGAAACGAAUGCUAAUACCUGAUAUUAUGAUUUUAGGGCAUCCUAGAAUUAUGAAAGCUAUAUGCGCCGUGAGAGAGCUUUGCGUCCCAUUAGCUAGUUGGAGAGGUAACGGCUCACCAAGGCGAUGAUGGGUAGCCGGCCUGAGAGGGUGAACGGCCACAAGGGGACUGAGACACGGCCCUUACUCCUACGGGAGGCAGCAGUGGGGAAUAUUGGACAAUGGACCAAGAGUCUGAUCCAGCAAUUCUGUGUGCACGAUGAAGUUUUUCGGAAUGUAAAGUGCUUUCAGUUGGGAAGAAAAAAAUGACGAUACCAACAGAAGAAGUGACGGCUAAAUACGUG
rnacentral:rRNA from 1 species